rnacentral:rRNA from 1 species
ACGAACGCUGGCGGCGUGCUUAACACAUGCAAGUCGAACGGAAAGGCCCUGCUUGCAGGGUACUCGAGUGGCGAACGGGUGAGUAACACGUGGGUGAUCUGCCCUGCACUUCGGGAUAAGCCUGGGAAGCUGGGUCUAAUACCGGAUAGGAGCCAUUUUUAGUGUGAUGGUUGGAAAGUUUUUUCGGUGUAGGAUGAGCUCGCGGCCUAUCAGCUUGUUGGUGGGGUAAUGGCCUACCAAGGCGGCGACGGGUAGCCGGCCUGAGAGGGUGGACGGCCACAUUGGGACUGAGAUACGGCCCAGACUCCUACGGGAGGCAGCAGUGGGGAAUAUUGCACAAUGGGCGCAAGCCUGAUGCAGCGACGCCGCGUGGGGGAUGACGGCCUUCGGGUUGUAAACUCCUUUCGCUAGGGACGAAGCUUUUUGUGACGGUACCUAGAUAAGAAGCACCGGCUAACUACGUG